CAGCAGUGGGGAUAUUGCACAAUGGGCGCAAGCCUGAUGCAGCGACGCCGCGUGGGGGAUGAAGGCCUUCGGGUUGUAAACUCCUUUCAGCCAUGACGAAGCUGGCCUUGUUGGGUCAGUGACGGUAGUGGUAGAAGAAGCACCGGCUAACUACGUGCCAGCAGCCGCGGUAAUACGUAGGGUGCGAGCGUUGUCCGGAAUUACUGGGCGUAAAGAGCUCGUAGGUGGUUUGUCACGUCGUCUGUGAAAUUCCGGGGCUUAACUCCGGGCGUGCAGGCGAUACGGGCAUAACUUGAGUACUGUAGGGGAGACUGGAAUUCCUGGUGUAGCGGUGAAAUGCGCAGAUAUCAGGAGGAACACCGAUGGCGAAGGCAGGUCUCUGGGCAGUUACUGACGCUGAGGAGCGAAAGCAUGGGUAGCGAACAGGAUUAGAUACCCUGGUAGUCCAUGCCGUAAACGGUGGGCGCUAGGUGUGGGGGUCUUCCACGACUUCCGUGCCGUAGCUAACGCAUUAAGCGCCCCGCCUGGGGAGUACGGCCGCAAGGCUAAAACUCAAAGGAAUUGACGGGGCCC
rnacentral:rRNA from 1 species